rnacentral:rRNA from 1 species
GUCAAAAUGACUCUCAGCAAUGGAUAUCUCGGCUCUCGCAUCGACGAAGAACGUAGUAAAAUCCAAUACUUGGUGUGAAUUGCAUAAUCCGAUGAACCGAGUCUUUGAGUGCAAGUAAUGCCCGAAGACAUCCGGCCGAGGGCACGUCUGCCUGGGCGUCACGCAUCGUGUCGC